rnacentral:rRNA from 1 species
UACGUAGGGUGCAAGCGUUGUCCGGAAUUAUUGGGCGUAAAGAGCUCGUAGGCGGUCUGUCGCGUCGGCUGUGAAAUCCCGGAGCUCAACUCCGGGUCUGCGGUGGGUACGGGCAGACUAGAGUGAUGUAGGGGAGACUGGAAUUCCUGGUGUAGCGGUGAAAUGCGCAGAUAUCAGGAGGAACACCGGUGGCGAAGGCGGGUCUCUGGGCCGAUACUGACGCUGAGGAGCGAAAGCGUGGGGAGCGAACAGG